CUGAGCCGAAGGCAGACGCUUAACGACUGAGCCACCCAGGCGCCCCAAGAAAUGGCAGAUUUUGAUCAACUAAUUAUCCUUGUACUAAUAUUAAAAAGUGAUGGUGUUGUUUCAGUAAAAUGGAAUAGUCUAAUAGCUGAUAUUUUUGUAUAUUAAAAUAUAGCUGUUAUUAUAGUGGGAAUUUAAAAAUGAAACCAUUCAAAUCAUAUUUUCUUUUCCUUCUCUUUCUGAUAGUGCCAAAAGUUUCUGUUGACAUUGUAGUUAGCAAAUUGUUUUUGUGUUUACUUUGGGGCAUGCAUAUGCAGUUAUCUGGUGAAUUUACACCCCUUUCCCCUGUAGUUCUAUGUGUAUUAAUAAUCUCAAAUAAAAUUAAUCUUCUUAUUCUGCUAGAGAAGAAAAAGCUGGAUCACUUACCAGUAACUGGAGUUCUCCUAUUGGGUAAUCUCCACAGAUCCACAUUCUUUGAAGUUAUUGCGAAUGCCUCGAGGACCAAGGAACCGUUGAAAUUUCCAAUUUCAGGAAGUUCCAGUGGAUGCCCAUCAGGAAGAUUCUCAUGCUGGACAGAAGGGCAAGAGAGGUGGAUCUGUGAGGGAAAAGACCCAAUAGGAUAACUCAAGUUACUGAGAUAACACGAAGAGAGCCUGGUUACCAUUUGGUGGAACAAGCCUGCUGGCUCAAGCCUCUGCCCAGAAAUUUGAUUCAGUCUCUUUUCUGGACAGUCUGGAUGGAGGGAGUGACACAGUACAAAAUGUAAUAAAGGAAGUUGUCAAACCUUCAUUUGUUAUGGAAGGAAGACAUUCAGAGAUCCCUAUUACCUUGGGAGACCAAAUGAUGACUACACCUCAAUUGCAUUUUAUAUCUUGGAGUGACUCUCAAUUUUAGGAAACCUCGACCUGUGUCCCAGUUGGUUGCCCAGCAGGUUACUCAGCAGUUUGUGCCCCCUACACAGUCAAAGAAAGAGAAAAAAGAUAAAGUAGAAAAAGAAAAAAGUGAAAAGGAAACAACUAGCAAAAAGAACAGUCAUAAGAAAACCAGGCCAAGAUUGAAAAAUGUGGAUCGGAGUAGUGCUCAGCAUUUGGAAGUUACCGUUGGAGAUCUGACAGUCAUUAUUACAGACUUUAAGGAGAAAACAAAGUCACCGCCUGCAUCUAGUGCUGCUUCUGCAGAUCAACACAGUCAGAGUGGCUCUAGCUCUGAUAACACAGAGAGGGGAAUGUCCAGAUCAUCUUCACCCAGAGGAGAAGCCUCAUCAUUGAAUGGAGAAUCUCAUUAAAAUUUAUUUUCUCCAAUUUCUUAGUCACUUCUGUCAUAACAUGCAAAUACACAGAUUAUGCCAAGAAGUACCACAUUUUCAUGACAGACAUUCAUGCACAAUCCAUAAUUUGCGUUUUACACAAAAUAGAAAUUUGUUAGAAUUUGUUAGACUUUAUUGCAAUCUAUGCCUACCAAACAUUUUCAGACUUGACAUUUUGGUCUCCACAGUUCAAGGUGCCAUGAAAAUGUGGUUGAAUUAUUCAUUAUGCAGUGUUAUUGGUAAGUCUAUUUUCACUUUUAGUUUAGUGAAUUCUAACACAUAAUUCUUGAAUUCUCUACUAUUGGCAUGUAACGAAUUUAAAUUUUUAUAACAUAGUGCAAGCUGCCUAAAUAUGUAUUAUUUGAGAAUUGUGAAACAAAUAGUUAUAUGUAUACAAGUCAAAGAUCAAUUUAAUCAACUAUUGCUGCAACAGGAUUUUCUUAAUGGUUAUCCUCUUAAAUACACCUGCUGGUACUUGGUGUGGUUAAAUAGGAAAAAUUGUUAUUAAAUAAAGAAUUUGUAUGAACCGUUGCCAAUGUUUUUGACACAUUUUACUAAAUUAUUGUUCCUGAAUUAUGUUUCUGGUUUUAUCUUUGUUUUUGUUUUUGUUUAUCUUUUAAAACAUUCAUUAUUGUAAUGUUUACUAGCAGAGUAGUAAACAAUAAAACAUUGAUUAUUUAGCUUUAUAAUUCAGGUUUAGUGCUCUUGUCAUUGAACACUGGUAUUUUCUGUAUAAUAUAAAACUUUGAAGUUCAAAUAAUUAUAAGCAUUUGGCAAAAACAGAAAAGAAACCUGACAUAUUUUAAAGGCUGCAAUUUUGGAAAAGCUUUAACUUAAUAAUAGUUUAUCACUGUUGUCUUGCCCCAAACUUGUGCAGGGUCAUAGAAAUAUGAAUCUAAUUAAUACAGAAAUGGGAACUGUUGCACAGAACUGGGAAAUAACUAAUCUCAAAUCAGUUUAAUUGGCUUCUUAUUAAAUAUAAUGAUUCUUAUGAAAAUCAUAGUGCCCUAUUUUCAGACACAACUGCCAGUUUAUGCAUUUAUCAAUAUCCUGAAAUAAAAGAAAGUAUUUACAGCCCCACUUAUUAUGUAAAAUUACCAAUAAAAUAUUUUUAUGACUACAGAUUUUGCAUUUUUGUUCACAACUAAUAAUGUGUUUCAUAUUGUAUUUAAAAAUCCAACCUAGAAACCACACAUAAGUACUUCUUAAAUUUUUCUAGGGUCUCCUGCUGCUUUUAGUCAUUUGCUUAAUAUAUAUCCACCUCUAGGAGACUUCUGAAAUAUAAAUUAAAAACAUAACUUGGAUGCAAAAUAUCACUUAAAAACACUAUGAUAGCAUUUGAAAAACAGAAAAAAACAAAACAAAACUGUACACCCUGACAGUUGUGAUAUUUGGUGGUUUCUCGUGGUAAUGUAAUUUUCUGUUUAAUUGCAGUACUUUUUCCAGGCACAAUGGGACUGUCUUUUUUGUAAGAUGCUAGUUGUGAAAUACAGUUAAUUGCAUACAGUAAAAGUCUGUGAUUAAAACAUUUAUAUACCUCAUUCUUUAGUGUUGUUAAAUGAAAAAUUAAAGUUUGUUUUUAUUAUAAGAUA